GAGCUGGGCACAGGCACUGCCCUGCUGCCCAAAGGCCUGCACGUGACGGUGGGGCUGGCACAGCACCAACGACCCAGCUGGAGUCCGCAGUGGUGGAGCAGCUGCUUGUGGAUUCCUUGGACAAAGCUUACGGCAAACAAGUCUUGACCUGGAAUGGCGGCGUCUCGGCUGUCAGUUGGCAUGCCAUGCAGUCUGCAGCCUCAGCGUGCAGGAAGACCAUCAUCGAUGAGUGGGAUGAGGAGUUUGACAGAGGGCAGGUGAAGAAGGUUAAAAAGCGGAGGAGGGAGCAGAGACACCAGAAACCCUGGCAGUGGCUGCACCGCCAGCGCAGCUUCUGGGCAGUGACGCAUGCGGCCAAGGCAGCGAGCCUGCGCCACCGGCUCUGAGCCGGAAUGCCAGCGAGCGGGAGGAGAGGUCCCUGCCAUGGAGCCCUGUCCUGGGAGCUGCUGUGGAGGGAAGAGGACACCGCUGCCCACAUCUCCACGCUCGAUGUCCCUGCCUUCUGCUGUGAAGGAGCCCAGGAGGACCGUGCCUUGUCCGGGCUCCUUCAGCAGCUUCCCUGCGCCUAGGCCUGGAGCAGCCCUUUCUCC